GCGGUGUUAGUCCAGUGGCCUAAGACCCCACCUUGCCAUGGUGGAGACCGGGGUUCAAAUCCCCGACACCGCA
rnacentral:tRNA from 1 species